UACGUAGGUGGGCAAGCGUUGUCCGGAUUUAUUGGGUUUAAAGGGUGCGUAGGUGGUCUAUUAAGUCAGUGCUGAAAUACUCCCGGCUUAACCGGGAGGGUGGCAUUGAUACUGAUGGACUUGGAGUGGAGUUGAGGUAGGCGGAAUUGACGGUGUAGCGGUGAAAUGCUUAGAUAUCGUCAAGAACACCGAUAGCGAAGGCAGCUUACCAAGCUCUAAACUGACAGCUGAUGCACG
rnacentral:rRNA from 1 species